rnacentral:rRNA from 1 species
CAGUCGACGAAGCACCUUGGACAGAAUCCUUCGGGAGGAAGACCAUUGUGACUGAGUGGCGGACGGGUGAGUAACGCGUGGGUAACCUGCCUUGUACAGGGGGAUAACAGUUGGAAACGACUGCUAAUACCGCAUAAGCGCACAGUACCGCAUGGUACGGUGUGAAAAACUCCGGUGGUACAAGGUGGACCCGCGUCUGAUUAGCUGGUUGGUGAGGUAACGGCCCACCAAGGCGACGAUCAGUAGCCGACUUGAGAGAGUGAUCGGCCACAUUGGGACUGAGACACGGCCCAAACUCCUACGGGAGGCAGCAGUAGGGAAUAUUGCACAAUGGGGGAAACCCUGAUGCAGCGACGCCGCGUGAAGGAAGAAGUAUUUCGGUAUGUAAACUUCUAUCAGCAAGGAAGAAAAUGACGGUACUUGACUAAGAAGCCCCGGCUAAAUACGUGCCAGCAGCCGCGGUAAUACGUAUGGGGCAAGCGUUAUCCGGAUUUACUGGGUGUAAAGGGAGCGUAGGCGGCAUGGCAAGUCAGAAGUGAAAGCCUGGGGCUCAACCC